CAGUUACAUCUGAAUUUCUGAACAGCAAUGAAUACAUUUUUGUGUAAGUAUGACCCAUGCAAUAUUUGGGACAUACUUAUGCUGAAAAUUUGUUCAUUGUGUAUCUGAAAUUCAAAUGUAACUGGGAGUCCUGCA
rnacentral:miRNA from 1 species